CCCUUAGAUGUUCUGGGCCGCACGCGCGCUACAUUGACGAAUGCAACGAGCUUAUAACCUUGGCCGAAAGGUCUGGGUAAUCUCCAAAUUUCGUCGUGAUGGGGAUAGAUUAUUGCAAUUAUUAAUCUUCAACGAGGAAUGCCUAGUAAGCGCAAGUCAUCAGCUUGCGUUGAUUACGUCCCUGCCCUUUGUACACACCGCCCGUCGCUCCUACCGAUUGAAUGGUCCGGUGAAGCGCUCGGACCGCGGCCUCUUGACGGUUUUCCGUCGAUUGGCUGUGGGAAGUUCGUUAAACCUUAUCAUUUAGAGGAAGGAGAAGUCGUAACA
rnacentral:rRNA from 1 species